CCUACGGGAGGCAGCAGUGGGGAAUAUUGGGCAAUGGAGGAAACUCUGACCCAGCAAUGCCGCGUGAAUGAAGAAGGUCUUCGGAUUGUAAAGUUCUUUAGUCAGGGAAGAAGUCAAUGACGGUACCUGAAGAAUAAGCUCCGGCUAACUACGUGCCAGCAGCCGCGGUAAUACGUAGGGAGCAAGAGUUGUUCGGAAUGACUGGGCGUAAGGGGUGCGUAGGCGGGUGUGAAAGUUAGAAGUGAAAUACCCAGGGCUCAACUCCGGUGCUGCUUCUAAAACUGUAUGACUUGAGUGUAGUAGAGGUUAGCGGAAUGUAUGGUGUAGCGGUGGAAUGCGUAGAGAUUA
rnacentral:rRNA from 1 species